rnacentral:rRNA from 1 species
GACGAACGCUGGCGGCGUGCUUAACACAUGCAAGUCGAACGGAAAGGCACUACUUUUGUGGGGUGCUCGAGUGGCGAACGGGUGAGUAACACGUGAGUAACCUGCCCUUGACUUUGGGAUAACUUCAGGAAACUGGAGCUAAUACCGGAUAGGAGCUGCUGUUGCAUGGUGGGGGUUGGAAAGUUUCGGCGGUUUGGGAUGGACUCGCGGCUGAUCAGUUUGUUGGUGGGGUAGUGGCGUCCCAAGGCUUUGACGGGUAGCCGGCCUGGGAGGGUGACCGGGCACAUUGGGACUGAGGUAGGGCCCAGAGGGCAACGGGGGGCAGCGGGGGAAAAUAUUGCCCAAUGGGCGGAAGCCUGAUGCAGCGGCUCCGGGUGCGGAAUGACGGCUUUCGGGUUGUAAACAGCGUUAGCCUGUGACGAAGCGUGAGUGACGGUAAUGGAUAAAGAAGCACCGGCUAACUACGUG